rnacentral:misc_RNA from 1 species
GAUGAAGAACGUAGCGAAAUGCGAUAAGUAAUGUGAAUUGCAGAAUUCAGUGAAUCAUCGAAUCUUUGAACGCACAUUGCGCCCGCCAGUAUUCUGGCGGGCAUGCCUGUUCGAGCGUCAUUACAACCCUCAGGCCCCCGGGCCUGGCGUUGGGGAUCGGCGGAAGCCCCCUGUGGGCACACGCCGUCCCUCAAAUACAGUGGCGGUCCCGCCGCAGCUUCCAUUGCGUAGUAGCUAACACCUCGCAACUGGAGAGCGGCGAGGCCAUGCCGUAAAACACCCAACUUCUGAAUGUUGACCGCGAAUCAGGUAGGAAUACCCGCUGAACUUAAGCAUAUCAAUAAGCGGAGGA